rnacentral:rRNA from 1 species
UGAUUGAGAGUUUGAUCCUGGCUCAGGACGAACGCUGGCGGCGCGCCUAAUGCAUGCAAGUCGAACGAACGGACCCCUUCGGGGGCGAGUUAGUGGCAGACGGCUGAGUAACGCGUAAGCAACCUACCCACUGGCGGGGGACAACCCGGAGAAAUCCGAGCUAAUACCGCAUGUGGUUGCCUGCCGAUAGCGGGUAACCAAAGGCUUCGGCCACCAGUGGAUGGGCUUGCGUCCCAUCAGGUAGUUGGUGAGGUAACGGCCCACCAAGCCGUCGACGGGUAGCCGGUGUGAGAGCACGACCGGCCAGAGGGGGACUGAGACACGGCCCCCACUCCUACGGGAGGCAGCAGCAGGGAAUCUUGCGCAAUGGGCGAAAGCCUGACGCAGCGACGCCGCGUGAGGGAAGAAGGCCUGCGGGUCGUAAACCUCUUUUCUCGGGGAAGAUAGUGACGGUACCCGAGGAAUAAGCCUCGGCUAACUACGUGCCAGCAGCCGCGGUAAUACGUAGGAGGCUAGCGUUGUCCGGAUUCAUUGGGCGUAAAGGGAGCGCAGGUGGCCGGGUUAGUCCGUGGUGCAAUCUCCAGGCUCAACUUGGAGAGGUCUACGGAUACUGCUCGGCUUGAGGACGGUAGAGGAGCACGGAAUUCCUGGUGUAGUGGUGAAAUGCGUAGAUAUCAGGAGGAACACCCGUGGCGAAAGCGGUGCUCUGGGCCGAUCCUGACACUCAGGCUCGAAAGCGUGGGGAGCAAACCGGAUUAGAUACCCGGGUAGUCCACGCCCUAAACG